rnacentral:rRNA from 1 species
AUACGUAGGGGGCAAGCGUUGUCCGGAAUUACUGGGCGUAAAGAGCUCGUAGGCGGCUCAGCAAGUCGGUCGUGAAAGCCCGAGGCUCAACCUCGGAACUGCGGUCGAUACUGCUGUGGCUAGAGUCCGGUAGAGGAGAGUGGAAUUCCCGGUGUAGCGGUGGAAUGCGCAGAUAUCGGGAGGAACACCAGUGGCGAAGGCGGCUCUCUGGGCCGGUACUGACGCUGAGGAGCGAAAGCGUGGGGAGCGAACAGGAUUAGAUACCCCAGUAGUCC